rnacentral:rRNA from 4 species
GGUCAAGUGAAGAAGCGCAUACGGUGGAUGCCUUGGCAGUCAGAGGCGAUGAAAGACGUGGUAGCCUGCGAUAAGCUUCGGGGAGUCGGCAAACAGACUUUGAUCCGGAGAUCUCUGAAUGGGGGAACCCACUCAGCAUAAGCUGAGUAUCUUGUACUGAAUACAUAGGUGCAAGAGGCGAACCAGGGGAACUGAAACAUCUAAGUACCCUGAGGAAAAGAAAUCAACCGAGAUUCCCUUAGUAGUGGCGAGCGAACGGGGACUAGCCCUUAAGUGGCUUUGAGAUUAGCGGAACGCUCUGGAAAGUGCGGCCAUAGUGGGUGAUAGCCCUGUACGCGAAAAUCUCUUAGUCAUGAAAUCGAGUAGGACGGAGCACGAGAAACUUUGUCUGAAUAUGGGGGGACCAUCCUCCAAGGCUAAAUACUACUGACUGACCGAUAGUGAACCAGUACCGUGAGGGAAAGGCGAAAAGAACCCCGGAGAGGGGAGUGAAAUAGAUCCUGAAACCGUAUGCGUACAAGCAGUGGGAGCCUACUUGUUAGGUGACUGCGUACCUUUUGUAUAAUGGGUCAGCGACUUAUAUUCAGUGGCGAGCUUAACCGAAUAGGGGAGGCGUAGCGAAAGCGAGUCUUAAUAGGGCGUUUAGUCGCUGGGUAUAGACCCGAAACCGGGCGAUCUAUCCAUGGGCAGGUUGAAGGUUAGGUAACACUGACUGGAGGACCGAACCGACUACCGUUGAAAAGUUAGCGGAUGACCUGUGGAUCGGAGUGAAAGGCUAAUCAAGCUCGGAGAUAGCUGGUUCUCCUCGAAAGCUAUUUAGGUAGCGCCUCAUGUAUCACUGUAGGGGGUAGAGCACUGUUUCGGCUAGGGGGUCAUCCCGACUUACCAAACCGAUGCAAACUCCGAAUACCUACAAGUGCCGAGCAUGGGAGACACACGGCGGGUGCUAACGUCCGUCGUGAAAAGGGAAACAACCCAGACCGUCAGCUAAGGUCCCAAAGUUAUGGUUAAGUGGGAAACGAUGUGGGAAGGCUUAGACAGCUAGGAGGUUGGCUUAGAAGCAGCCACCCUUUAAAGAAAGCGUAAUAGCUCACUAGUCGAGUCGGCCUGCGCGGAAGAUGUAACGGGGCUCAAACCAUACACCGAAGCUACGGGUAUCACUUAGGUGAUGCGGUAGAGGAGCGUUCUGUAAGCCUGUGAAGGUGAGUUGAGAAGCUUGCUGGAGGUAUCAGAAGUGCGAAUGCUGACAUGAGUAACGACAAUGGGAGUGAAAAACUCCCACGCCGAAAGACCAAGGUUUCCUGCGCAACGUUAAUCGACGCAGGGUUAGUCGGUCCCUAAGGCGAGGCUGAAAAGCGUAGUCGAUGGAAAACAGGUUAAUAUUCCUGUACUUCUGGUUAUUGCGAUGGAGGGACGGAGAAGGCUAGGCCAGCUUGGCGUUGGUUGUCCAAGUUUAAGGUGGUAGGCUGAGAUCUUAGGUAAAUCCGGGAUCUUAAGGCCGAGAGCUGAUGACGAGUUGCCAUUAGGCGACGAAGUGGUUGAUGCCAUGCUUCCAAGAAAAGCUUCUAAGCUUCAGAUAACCAGGAACCGUACCCCAAACCGACACAGGUGGUUGGGUAGAGAAUACCAAGGCGCUUGAGAGAACUCGGGUGAAGGAACUAGGCAAAAUGGCACCGUAACUUCGGGAGAAGGUGCGCCGGUGAGGGUGAAGGACUUGCUCCGUAAGCCCAUGCCGGUCGAAGAUACCAGGCCGCUGCGACUGUUUAUUAAAAACACAGCACUCUGCAAACACGAAAGUGGACGUAUAGGGUGUGACGCCUGCCCGGUGCCGGAAGGUUAAUUGAUGGGGUUAGCUAACGCGAAGCUCUUGAUCGAAGCCCCGGUAAACGGCGGCCGUAACUAUAACGGUCCUAAGGUAGCGAAAUUCCUUGUCGGGUAAGUUCCGACCUGCACGAAUGGCGUAACGAUGGCGGCGCUGUCUCCACCCGAGACUCAGUGAAAUUGAAAUCGCUGUGAAGAUGCAGUGUAUCCGCGGCUAGACGGAAAGACCCCGUGAACCUUUACUAUAGCUUUGCACUGGACUUUGAAUUUGCUUGUGUAGGAUAGGUGGGAGGCUUUGAAGCGUGGACGCCAGUUCGCGUGGAGCCAUCCUUGAAAUACCACCCUGGCAACUUUGAGGUUCUAACUCAGGUCCGUUAUCCGGAUCGAGGACAGUGUAUGGUGGGUAGUUUGACUGGGGCGGUCUCCUCCUAAAGAGUAACGGAGGAGUACGAAGGUGCGCUCAGACCGGUCGGAAAUCGGUCGUAGAGUAUAAAGGCAAAAGCGCGCUUGACUGCGAGACAGACACGUCGAGCAGGUACGAAAGUAGGUCUUAGUGAUCCGGUGGUUCUGUAUGGAAGGGCCAUCGCUCAACGGAUAAAAGGUACUCCGGGGAUAACAGGCUGAUACCGCCCAAGAGUUCAUAUCGACGGCGGUGUUUGGCACCUCGAUGUCGGCUCAUCACAUCCUGGGGCUGAAGCCGGUCCCAAGGGUAUGGCUGUUCGCCAUUUAAAGUGGUACGCGAGCUGGGUUUAGAACGUCGUGAGACAGUUCGGUCCCUAUCUGCCGUGGACGUUUGAGAUUUGAGAGGGGCUGCUCCUAGUACGAGAGGACCGGAGUGGACGAACCUCUGGUGUUCCGGUUGUCACGCCAGUGGCAUUGCCGGGUAGCUAUGUUCGGAAGAGAUAACCGCUGAAAGCAUCUAAGCGGGAAACUUGCCUCAAGAUGAGAUCUCACUGGAGCCUUGAGCUCCCUGAAGGGCCGUCGAAGACUACGACGUUGAUAGGUUGGGUGUGUAAGCGCUGUGAGGCGUUGAGCUAACCAAUACUAAUUGCCCGUGAGGCUUGACCAU